rnacentral:rRNA from 1 species
GCAAGCGUUGUCCGGAAUCAUUGGGCGUAAAGCGCGUGUAGGCGGCUCGAUAAGUCUGCUGUGAAAGUCCAGGGCUCAACCCUGGGAUGCCGGUGGAUACUGUCGAGCUCGAGUCCGGAAGAGGCGAGUGGAAUUCCUGGUGUAGCGGUGAAAUGCGCAGAUAUCAGGAGGAACACCAAUGGCGAAGGCAGCUCGCUGGGACGGUACUGACGCUGAGACGCGAAAGCGUGGGGAGCAAACAGG